AGGCAGCUGCAUGUUAUAUUGGACAAUGGGCUAAAGCCUGAUGCCACUACACCGCGUGCGGGAUGACGGCCUUAGGGUUGUAAACCGCUUUCAGGAGGGAAGAAAAUGACGGUGCCUCCAGAACAAGCUCCGGCCAACUACGUGCCAGCAGCCGCGGUAAUACGUAGGGAGCAAACGUUGUCCGGAUUUAUUGGGCGUAAAGGGCUCGUAGGCGGUUCAACAAGUCGAUCGUGAAAGCCCGGGGCUCAACCCCGGGAGGCCGGUCGAAACUGUUGUGACUAGAGUUCGGUAGAGGUGAGUGGAAUUCUCGGUGUAUCGGUGGAAUGCGCUUAUAUCGACAGGAACACCAUUAUCGAAGGCGGCUCACUGGGACGAUACUGGCGCUGAGGAGCGAAAGCGUGGGGAGCAAACAGGAUUAGAAACCCUGGCAGUCCACGCCGUAGACGAUGAACACUAUGUGUAGCGAACUGAUUCAUGUCUGCUGUGCCGUAGCUAACGCAUUAAGUGUUCCGCCUGCUGAGUACGGUCGCAAGGCUAACACUGAUGUGAAUUGACGG
rnacentral:rRNA from 1 species